rnacentral:rRNA from 1 species
GUAGGUGGCAAGCGUUGUCCGGAAUUAUUGGGCGUAAAGCGCGCGCAGGCGGUUCUUUAAGUCUGAUGUGAAAGCCCACGGGCUCAACCGUGGAGGGUCAUUGGAAACUGGAGAACUUGAGUACAGAAGAGGAAAGCGGAAUUCCACGUGUAGCGGUGAAAUGCGUAGAGAUGUGGAGGAACACCAGUGGCGAAGGCGGCCUUCUGGUCUGUAACUGACGCUGAGGCGCGAAAGCGUGGGGAGCAAACAGGAUUAGAUACCCUGGUAGUCCACGCCGUAAACGAUGAGUGCUAAGUGUUAGGGGGUUUCCGCCCCUUAGUGCUGCAGCUAACGCAUUAAGCACUCCGCCUGGGGAGUACGGCCGCAAGGCUG